rfam:Angiostrongylus costaricensis strain Costa Rica genome assembly, scaffold: ACOC_scaffold0002568
GAUUUCGUAGNUAUCACAUCUGUCUAACACACAGAAGGUCGGCGGUUCGAGUCCGCCCGAGAUCA